UACGGAGGGGGCUAGCGUUGUUCGGAAUUACUGGGCGUAAAGCGCGCGUAGGCGGCUUUGUAAGUUAGAGGUGAAAGCCCGGGGCUCAACUCCGGAAUUGCCUUUAAGACUGCAUCGCUAGAAUUGUGGAGAGGUGAGUGGAAUUCCGAGUGUAGAGGUGAAAUUCGUAGAUAUUCGGAAGAACACCAGUGGCGAAGGCGGCUCGCUGGACACAUAUUGACGCUGAGGUGCGAAAGCGUGGGGAGCAAACAGG
rnacentral:rRNA from 1 species